GAUGAACGCUGGCGGCGUGCCUAAUACAUGCAAGUAGAACGCUGAAGCUUGGUGCUUGCACCGAGCGGAUGAGUUGCGAACGGGUGAGUAACGCGUAGGUAACCUGCCUCUUAGCGGGGGAUAACUAUUGGAAACGAUAGCUAAUACCGCAUAAAAGACGAUAUCGCAUGAUAUUGAUUUGAAAGGUGCAAUUGCAUCACUAAGAGAUGGACCUGCGUUGUAUUAGCUAGUUGGUGAGGUAACGGCUCACCAAGGCAACGAUACAUAGCCGACCUGAGAGGGUGAUCGGCCACACUGGGACUGAGACACGGCCCAGACUCCUACGGGAGGCAGCAGUAGGGAAUCUUCGGCAAUGGGGGCAACCCUGACCGAGCAACGCCGCGUGAGUGAAGAAGGUUUUCGGAUCGUAAAGCUCUGUUGUAAGAGAAGAACGAGUGUGAGAGUGGAAAGUUCACACUGUGACGGUAACUUACCAGAAAGGGACGGCUAACUACGUGCCAGCAGCCGCGGUAAUACGUAGGUCCCGAGCGUUAUCCGGAUUUAUUGGGCGUAAAGCGAGCGCAGGCGGUUAGAUAAGUCUGAAGUUAAAGGCUGUGGCUUAACCAUAGUACGCUUUGGAAACUGUUUAACUUGAGUGCAAGAGGGGAGAGUGGAAUUCCAUGUGUAGCGGUGAAAUGCGUAGAUAUAUGGAGGAACACCGGUGGCGAAAGCGGCUCUCUGGUCUGUAACUGACGCUGAGGCUCGAAAGCGUGGGGAGCAAACAGG
rnacentral:rRNA from 1 species